rnacentral:rRNA from 1 species
UUGGAGGGCAAGUCUGGUGCCAGCAGCCGCGGUAAUUCCAGCUCCAAUAGCGUAUAUUGAAGUUGUUGCAGUUAAAGAGCUCGUAGUUGAAUUUCGGGAACAGCAGGUUGGUCGUGCCUCUGGUGUGCACUGGUUUCGCUGAUUCCUCCUUUCUGAAGAACUGUAAUGUCAUUAAUUUGGUGUUGCAGGGAAACAGGACUGUUACUUUGAAAAAAUUAGAGUGUUUAAAGCAAGCUAACGCUUGAAUACAUUAGCAUGGAAUAAUGAAAUAGGACGUUUGAUCCUAUUUUGUUGGUUUCUAGGAUUGACGUAAUGAUUAAUAGGGAUAGUUGGGGGCAUUAGUAUUCAAUUGUCAGAGGUGAAAUUCUUGGAUUUAUUGAAGACUAACUACUGCGAAAGCAUUUGCCAAGGAUGUUUUCAUUAAUCAAGAACGAAAGUUAGGGGAUCGAAGACGAUCAGAUACCGUCGUAGUCUUAACCAUAAACUAUGCCGACUAGGGAUCGGAUGAUGUUAAUUUUUUAAUGACUCAUUCGGCGCCUUACGGGAAAC